UAGGGAAUCUUCGGCAAUGGACGAAAGUCUGACCGAGCAACGCCGCGUGAGUGAAGAAGGUUUUCGGAUCGUAAAACUCUGUUGUUAGAGAAGAACAAGGACGUUAGUAACUGAACGUCCCCUGACGGUAUCUAACCAGAAAGCCACGGCUAACUACGUGCCAGCAGCCGCGGUAAUACGUAGGUGGCAAGCGUUGUCCGGAUCUAUUGGGCGUAAAGCGAGCGCAGGCGGUUUCUUAAGUCUGAUGUGAAAGCCCCCGGCUCAACCGGGGGGGGUCAUUGGAAACUGGGAGACUUGAGUGCAGAAGAGGAGAGUGGAAUUCCAUGUGUAGCGGUGAAAUGCGUAGAUAUAUGGAAGAACACCAGUGGCGAAGGCGGCUCUCUGGUCUGUAACUGACGCUGAGGCUCGAAAGCGGGGGGAGCAAACAGG
rnacentral:rRNA from 1 species